GAUAUAUUUCUCUCUCUACCUCACCGCUCCUCCUUCUCUCUACAAUUCCUCUUCUCUUCUCUUUUGUACAUUCUUCUUCAUCUUUAUUCUUUGUUCUUCUUCUUCCUUCUGCUACUACUUUUCUCUUCUCAGGUUUAACUCCACUGGUGGAGUUAUCAAUAUCCUCAACUCAAUCAGAAAUAGCUAUGCCCAAAAUCAGAAAUAGGCUCCCUCUUUGUUUUUACAUUCUCUGUGUUGUUUUUGCAAUGAUGAAUCUAUCGUAGUUUGAAUUAAGUUCCCUAUUUCUCCAUCAUCGGAGUCCUCAGAGAUUUCAUCUUUCGAAAAGAUAGCAUUAGCCCACUCCAUAAGCAGUGACAAUCUAGUGACAAAUCAGGUAGAGAUAAUGUUAAAACGUGAAAUUGUUGAGGUAUUUGAGGAGACACAUAAGAAAAGAAAGAUGGAAGGUACAAGGGCAGAAUAGAUAGAGUCACGUGCAGAGGAGAUAUUUGAUGCCACAAAAGAAAAGAAAUAUGAGAAAUAGAAAGAAAGAAACAUAACAAUUUAAGCAUCAGUGCUUGAAGCUGAUUCAGCUAUCAAAUGUAUACCAAAUCCAGGAUUUAUAACUUGAUGGAGAAGACUCUCAAGGUUUACAUCUAUACUGAAGGGGAAAGACCCAUAUUCCAUUCUGGACCACUUGAUGGAAUAAAUGCUUCAGAGGGCUGGUUCAUAAAGCUGCUUCAAGAAAACAAAGAAUUUGUUAGUAAAAAUUUCAAAAAAGCAGAUCUGAUGGUGAAGAAGAGACUGAUUAUAAUGAUGAUAUUUAGAUUUGUUUUAGACUAUUUACUUGCGAUUUCAAAUACAGUUGAAUACUUAGACUCCACCUUCUGUUUUGAUGGUGUCUGAAUUUCUAGGCUCAAUUAUAUUGAAUGAAUUUAAAUGUUUAGAAAUGUAUGUGAUGUUUGCUUGUAUUGUUCAGUUUUUUAUGGAUGGAUGGUAAUAUAAUUUAGCAGGUGGUAUAU